rnacentral:rRNA from 1 species
GACAGAGGGUGCAAACGUUGUUCGGAAUUACUGGGCGUAAAGCGCACGUAGGCGGCUCUUUAAGUCGGGGGUGAAAUCCUGGAGCUCAACUCCAGAACUGCCUUCGAUACUGUAGAGCUUGAGUUCGGGAGAGGUGAGUGGAACUGCGAGUGUAGAGGUGAAAUUCGUAGAUAUUCGCAAGAACACCAGUGGCGAAGGCGGCUCACUGGCCCGAUACUGACGCUGAGGCACGAAAGCGUGGGGAGCAAACAGG